UUUUCUGUCACGCCAUCUUUACGUCACCUGAUCUCUAUAAAUGGAUGAGGACUGAGAGGAUUUGCAGUGAGGCAGCCACAUCUGUACAGAAGAAGCAGAGCAUAGAAAAUACUUAACAGAUGAACAGCAGAUGAGAUGGAAAUGGAAAACCAAGAUAACACUGAAGAAGCAGGAGAAGACUCUGCAAUCAAAUCUGUAACACCAUCUGUGAAUUAUUGCAAAGGCAAAUGUCCUCUCUGUUUUGCAAAAUGUUCCACUGUCUUCUCUAACUUUCCAGUAAAAGAGGAACGUUCACCUAAAGCCAAGUCUGAGUCACUGAAUAAACCUGGUGAAGCUGAACAAGUGGAGCAAAACAAAGUGUUUGAAGUAACAUCUACCACCAUGUUAUCUACCAUCCUCAAGAAAGCAAAUGAAGAGGAGAAGUGUGCAGCUAAAACAGAGUUUGGUAAAGUGAAUGAACCUGAUCACUCACAUAAGAAUGAUGACAGCACAACAGUAGGAGCAGAUGAAGUGAAGGAGAGUUCAGCUACAACACAGCAAGCCACAAUGGAGCCAGGGGUUGUUCCAGAGAAUGUAGACGAGUUGGGAGAAGAGGAGUUCAGGACCUUAAAAUUCUAUCUGAAGGAAACUGACAUCAUCAAAGGAAAUAAAGGCAUCCCACAGAGUCAUUUGGAGGCAAACCGCAUGGACACAAUGCAACUCAUGACAUGUGUCUAUAAAGCCAAUGAAGUUCCAGUGAUAACAAAAGAAGAUUUGAUGAGGAUCAACAGAAUUGAACUAGUCCUGGUCUACGGUUCAGAACUAACAGCAGAUGAAGUGAAGGAGAGUUCAGCUACAACACAGUGUAAUAAGGUAAAUGAACCUGAUGAUGUUGAACACUUACAUAAGAAUGAUGACAGCACAGUAGGAGGUGAGUCUAAAAUGAAAUGUAUAAAACCAUCUUUAUCCAGUGAGAAACUAAACAUUUUAACCUUAUUUAAUCUACAAUUCCAGGACCAGGAUGGAAAAUAUCGAUCAAGAACAUGA
rnacentral:lncRNA from 1 species